UACAGAGGGUGCGAGCGUUGUCCGGAAUCACUGGGCGUAAAGGGCGCGUAGGCGGCGCGGUAAGCGUGCGGUGAAAGCCCGGGGCUCAACCCCGGGUCGGCCGUGCGGACUGCCGGGCUGGAGCACUGUAGAGGCAGGUGGAAUUCCUGGUGUAGCGGUGGAAUGCGCAGAUAUCAGGAGGAACACCGGUGGCGAAGGCGGGUCUCUGGGCAGUAACUGACGCUGAGGAGCGAAAGCGUGGGGAGCGAACAGG
rnacentral:rRNA from 1 species